rnacentral:rRNA from 1 species
UAUCCGGAUUUACUGGGUGUAAAGGGAGCGUAGACGGCCGUGCAAGUCUGAUGUGAAAGGCUGGGGCUCAACCCCGGGACUGCAUUGGAAACUGUAUGGCUGGAGUGCCGGAGAGGUAAGCGGAAUUCCUAGUGUAGCGGUGAAAUGCGUAGAUAUAAGGAGGAACACCAGUGGCGAAGGCGGCUUACUGGACGGUAACUGACGUUGAGGCUCGAAAGCGUGGGGAGCAAACUGGAUUAGAUACC